rnacentral:rRNA from 1 species
AUGCGUGAUCAGGUCGGCAUCGACCUGGACGGCUUCCCCCUCGACCACGAGUUCCCGGAGGACUAUGGGCUAAAGGAAGAGGACGAGUGCGACAUCGAAGUGGAGCCUUUGUUCGAGGACGAGCUCGCCAACCAAACCGCCGGUCCUAAGCCAAAGCGCAAGAGCAAGCGCACGAAGGCGUACAUAGCUGCCGAGGACAAGCUUCUUGGCGAGACAUUGGACAUGACCCAAAGACGGGCGCCGAGCAAAAGCAUUCGACCAUUUGGACUCGUGUGCACCGCGAGUUUCAUGAGCGCAAAAAGUUUGCACCUUACCAAUUUGUGA